AAGGCGCGCGAUACAGGGUGACAGCCCCGUACACAAAAAUGCACAUAUUGUGAGCUCGAUGAGUAGGGCGGGACACGUGGUAUCCUGUCUGAAUAUGGGGGGCCCAUCCUCCAAGGCUAAAUACUCCUGACUGACCGAUAGUGAACCAGUACCGUGAGGGAAAGGCGAAAAGAACCCCGGCGAGGGGAGUGAAAAAGAACCUGAAACCGUGUACGUACAAGCAGUGGGAGCACGCUUAGGCGUGUGACUGCGUACCUUUUGUAUAAUGGGUCAGCGACUUAUAUUCUGUAGCAAGGUUAACCGAAUAGGGGAGCCGAAGGGAAACCGAGUCUUAACUGGGCGUUAAGUUGCAGGGUAUAGACCCGAAACCCGGUGAUCUAGCCAUGGGCAGGUUGAAGGUUGGGUAACACUAACUGGAGGACCGAACCGACUAAUGUUGAAAAAUUAGCGGAUGACUUGUGGCUGGGGGUGAAAGGCCAAUCAAACCGGGAGAUAGCUGGUUCUCCCCGAAAGCUAUUUAGGUAGCGCCUCGUGAAUUCAUCUCCGGGGGUAGAGCACUGUUUCGGCAAGGGGGUCAUCCCGACUUACCAACCCGAUGCAAACUGCGAAUACCGGAGAAUGUUAUCACGGGAGACACACGGCGGGUGCUAACGUCCGUCGUGAAGAGGGAAACAACCCAGACCGCCAGCUAAGGUCCCAAAGUCAUGGUUAAGUGGGAAACGAUGUGGGAAGGCCCAGACAGCCAGGAUGUUGGCUUAGAAGCAGCCAUCAUUUAAAGAAAGCGUAAUAGCUCACUGGUCGAGUCGGCCUGCGCGGAAGAUGUAACGGGGCUAAACCAUGCACCGAAGCUGCGGCAGCGACGCUUAUGCGUUGUUGGGUAGGGGAGCGUUCUGUAAGCCUGCGAAGGUGUGCUGUGAGGCAUGCUGGAGGUAUCAGAAGUGCGAAUGCUGACAUAAGUAACGAUAAAGCGGGUGAAAAGCCCGCUCGCCGGAAGACCAAGGGUUCCUGUCCAACGUUAAUCGGGGCAGGGUGAGUCGACCCCUAAGGCGAGGCCGAAAGGCGUAGUCGAUGGGAAACAGGUUAAUAUUCCUGUACUUGGUGUUACUGCGAAGGGGGGACGGAGAAGGCUAUGUUGGCCGGGCGACGGUUGUCCCGGUUUAAGCGUGUAGGCUGGUUUUCCAGGCAAAUCCGGAAAAUCAAGGCUGAGGCGUGAUGACGAGGCACUACGGUGCUGAAGCAACAAAUGCCCUGCUUCCAGGAAAAGCCUCUAAGCAUCAGGUAACAUCAAAUCGUACCCCAAACCGACACAGGUGGUCAGGUAGAGAAUACCAAGGCGCUUGAGAGAACUCGGGUGAAGGAACUAGGCAAAAUGGUGCCGUAACUUCGGGAGAAGGCACGCUGAUAUGUAGGUGAAGUCCCUUGCGGAUGGAGCUGAAAUCAGUCGAAGAUACCAGCUGGCUGCAACUGUUUAUUAAAAACACAGCACUGUGCAAACACGAAAGUGGACGUAUACGGUGUGACGCCUGCCCGGUGCCGGAAGGUUAAUUGAUGGGGUCAGCGCAAGCGAAGCUCUUGAUCGAAGCCCCGGUAAACGGCGGCCGUAACUAUAACGGUCCUAAGGUAGCGAAAUUCCUUGUCGGGUAAGUUCCGACCUGCACGAAUGGCGUAAUGAUGGCCAGGCUGUCUCCACCCGAGACUCAGUGAAAUUGAACUCGCUGUGAAGAUGCAGUGUACCCGCGGCAAGACGGAAAGACCCCGUGAACCUUUACUAUAGCUUGACACUGAACAUUGAGCCUUGAUGUGUAGGAUAGGUGGGAGGCUUUGAAGUG
rnacentral:rRNA from 1 species